rnacentral:misc_RNA from 1 species
ACACGAUCAAAUAAAGAUCGCAAGCAUUUGCGUUUCUAUAUCGUGUAGUAGGUGUACUUUAGGUUGCUUUAGCUACCCCUACCGUCGAUAGGAGGUGGUGGCAGUUCGGUGUUGCCCACGGGACGCAACGGUCGCGAGAAUUUCGAUAUAAUAGCAAGAAAGGACGAAUAGAGAGAAAAGAAAAGAAAAACUCCUCGUCCCGUGUGUCGUCCGCGGGUCGAUGCGUGCGUGGAAGUGAGAUCGCGAAAAAAAACAAAAUUACAAAAUAAUAAUAGAAGUUCGAAAAACACGCACAUUUUCCGAGGCUCAGCCCCGGUGACAAAAAACAGUGAAUAUAAAGAAACCCGUUAAAAAUGGCAGGAAAUACGGGAAUGGAGCAGUUGAUCCCGAUCGUUAACAAACUCCAGGAUGCAUUCACCCAGCUUGGUGUGGCUAUGCAACUCGAUCUUCCACAGAUCGCUGUUGUGGGCGGUCAGAGUGCGGGAAAGAGUUCCGUACUCGAGAAUUUCGUUGGCAAGGACUUCUUGCCUCGAGGUUCAGGCAUCGUUACCAGAAGACCACUCAUUCUACAGCUAAUCAACAGCAUCAGUGAAUCCGCCGAAUUUCUACACUGCAAAGGCAAAAAAUUCGUGGAUUUCGACGAAGUCAGGAAGGAAAUAGAAGCGGAGACGGAUCGCGUGACCGGAAGCAACAAAGGGAUAUCCAACGUGCCCAUAAAUUUGAGGGUAUAUUCGCCCAACGUUCUGAAUCUGACUUUGAUCGAUUUGCCCGGACUGACGAAGGUCCCGAUUGGCGAUCAGCCGGCUGACAUUGAGGCGCAGAUCAAAGGAAUGAUAUUUCAAUUUAUCAAGAAAGAGAAUUGCCUCAUAUUGGCUGUAACCCCGGCUAAUACUGAUCUCGCCAACAGCGAUGCACUCAAGCUUGCCAAGGAAGUUGAUCCACAGGGCGUACGUACCAUUGGCGUCAUCACCAAACUUGAUCUUAUGGAUGAUGGUACCGAUGCUAGAGACAUUUUAGAAAAUAAGUUGCUUCCUCUACGCAGGGGCUACAUAGGCGUAGUUAACAGAAGCCAGAGAGACAUCGAAGGUCGUAAAGACAUCAAAAACGCUUUGGCAGCUGAACGAAAGUUCUUCCUCAGUCAUCCGUCGUAUCGGCAUAUAGCAGACAGACUUGGAACACCGUAUUUACAACGUGUACUCAAUCAGCAACUAACCAAUCACAUACGAGACACACUGCCGGCUCUUCGUGACAGAUUACAGAAACAGCUGUUAACCCUUGAGAAAGAUGUCGAACAGUACAAACAUUUCAGGCCUGAUGAUCCGGCGAUCAAGACUAAAGCGAUGUUACAGAUGAUCCAGUCACUGCAAUCGGACUUUGAACGAACGAUCGAGGGCUCAGGAUCCGCUCAAAUAAACACAAACGAACUCAGCGGUGGUGCAAAAAUCAAUCGAUUGUUUCACGAACGUUUCCCUUUCGAGAUCGUCAAAAUGGAGUUCGACGAGAAAGAAUUACGGAGAGAAAUUGCUUUCGCAAUCAGGAACAUUCAUGGUAUCAGGGUUGGUUUAUUCACUCCUGAUAUGGCGUUCGAGGCCAUAGUUAAGAAACAAAUAAAUCGGCUUAAAGAGCCGAGUCUCAAAUGUGUGGACCUAGUCGUACAGGAAUUAAGCAACGUCGUUCGUAUUUGUACAGAUCGAAUGUCACGUUACCCUAGAUUAAGAGAAGAGACUGAGCGUAUAAUAACGACAUACGUUAGACAGCGUGAACAAAUGUGCAAAGAACAACUGGUACUAUUGGUUGACUGCGAGCUCGCUUACAUGAACACGAAUCACGAAGAUUUCAUUGGUUUUGCCAACGCGGCGGCCAGUUGCCAUAAUGCAAGCGCCCAGCAGUCCUCGGAAAACGCCGUCAAGGCUGGACGUCACACCCUUGGUAAUCAGGUCAUUCGUAAAGGCUACAUGUGCAUACACAAUUUGGGUAUUAUGAAGGGAGGCUCUCGCGAUUACUGGUUUGUCCUUACCUCCGAAAGCAUCUCUUGGUUCAAAGAUGAAGAGGAACGUGAGAAGAAGUACAUGUUACCACUGGACGGUUUGAAGCUUCGCGAUCUCGAGCAGGGUUUCAUGUCGAGACGACACUUGUUUGCACUUUUCAAUCCUGAAGGCCGAAACGUGUACAAAGAUUACAAGCAACUCGAGCUCAGUUGCGAAACACAAGACGACGUUGAUUCGUGGAAAGCUUCGUUCCUCAGAGCCGGUGUAUAUCCGGAAAAAUCCACGGAGCAGGCGAAUGGUGAAGGCGAGGAUAAGCAGCGGGAAGGAUAUCAGGGCGGCAAUGAAGGCCAAUCCUCGAUGGACCCUCAGUUGGAACGCCAAGUCGAAACGAUAAGAAACCUCGUUGAUUCUUACAUGAAGAUCGUGACGAAAACUACUCGCGACCUUGUUCCAAAGACUAUCAUGCAUCUGAUCAUAAAUAAUGCCAAGGACUUCAUCAAUGGUGAGCUUUUGGCUCAUCUGUACGCGAGUGGUGAUCAGUCGAGCAUGAUGGAAGAAUCGCCGGAAGAGGCCCAGAAACGCGAAGAAAUGUUGCGAAUGUAUCACGCCUGCAAAGAAGCUCUCCGAAUAAUCGGUGACGUAUCGAUGGCUACAGUCUCAACGCCAGUUCCUCCACCAGUGAAAAACGACUGGUUAGCGUCGGGUGAAAAUCCAAGUCUUGGACUAUCACCACCGUCUCCGGGCGGCGGAAGACGAGGGAUGUCUCAACCACCGCCACCAGCGAGCUCCCGAGCACCACCACCAGUCCCGGCUGGUGGAAGACCGGCUCCGGCCAUUCCAAACCGACCAGGACCCGGCGGACCGCCACCGGCACGGGGCACCCCGGGCCUUCCCCCUCCUCUCAUCCCAUCGCGCCGACAAUAAGUCUUCGCACUAACCACAUAAAGAAAAACACAUAAAUACAUACAUACAAUGAUAGGGAAAGACAAAAAGACAUUGAACGCGAAAAGCACUCACACAUAACUAUCCUUUCGCUAACUAAUCGGUAUAUACGUUGUCCUAAUUAACAUACUUAGAGUUCGACGUGGUUCGCUAACAAUUGUAUAUCGUCUCACUUUAACUAUCUCCUGUCUCUUAUCCCCUCUAUUAUCUCUAUUUCGAACUAUCGAUUUAUCUGGCACGCCCCCGAAAGCCUAUAUACGAUGAGAUAUUGUUGAUUAUGAUCUAGAUACAUACAUAUAUAUAUGUACACACGUUUCUAUUGUAAGUAGAUAAUGGUACGAAGCAUUUUUAGCAUCAAUCUAGAGGGAUUUCAUUUAUCAAGUUUCCUUUCAAAAUUUGAAACUCGAUGCAAAAACAAAAUUCGCUCAUUCUUCAUCGAUGCUUGUGCUACUGUCCGUCAUAAUAAUUCACACAUUAUAAUGAUGAGGUCCAAUUAUAAUUGCUAACAAUGAUUCGAAUGAAAAAAUUGAGUAAAUUUGUACAGGGGUUCUUGCAAUUAACAUUUUGUUUUAACGAGGAAUCUGUCCUCUAUUUGUUUUUAAUUUAAACAAUCGUUAUCCGGAUAUUGAGGAAAGAAAAAUUUGUACACGAAUUUUCACGGUGAAACUCUGUAACGCCUGGUGUACGCAAUGUUGUACAUGGUAAAAUGUAUAUAAUGAUGAAAAAAAAAGUAUCGAACAAAUUGUGCUGUUGCAGUUAUCGCGAUAAUGAGAAAUUGGGAGAGAAUAAUCAAUUUAUUUGAAUGUUGUUUCCGAAAAGCGCUCACUAACAGCAUGACAUUUCAGAAUUUAUCAAAAUACUUGAGCAUUGUUAAAAUAUUUGAAAAAGGAAACCUGAGCAUCGCUUCCAUGCUUCGUCAUUCACUGUGGUAAACUACUCAGUUUCUGAACUCAAAGGAAUUUUUAUUCUAUUCAAGACUUUUUAAUAGCAACAAUGUUAUUCGUUCAAUUUUGUAACAAGAUUAAAUAUGACGUGAUUGUGUACAUAGAAAAGUAGGACUUUUGUGUAUUUUAUUUCCAUGAUUAAAUUGCUUCCAUCGAAGGAAUAAAUUUCGUUCUGGUAAAGUUCAGACACUCGGUCGUUUAUCAUCAUAUUUUUGUUUCAUCAAAGGUGUCACGGUGGUUCGAAAACAUUCAUUGUUAAAAGUCAUCAAAAGUUUAAUUGGGAGAGAUGGGAAAAAGGGAUCAUGAAUUACGAAUUUGAUCAAAGCAACCAAUAACAAGUGUCAAAAAUCCCAGCCGAACGCUUCUAUUUUUGUCCUCCUCGAUUGUUCGCUCAUUGCCAAGAUGACAAACAAUUUUCAGUAUCCAAUUCCAUUUAUAAUGAAUAUUUACAAAUUUGUUCUUGACAAUAGCUCGUUGAGCAUAAUUUUUUCCAUGAUUUCCCGCCGUUUUAAUUCACUUUUCUCAAAAUCAAACUCCUGAUGGCAGGUGAAAAUAAAAAAACAACAGAUAAAAAUGUACGAAAUUUGUCGGUGCCUGCUACAAAAAUUAGGAGUUGAUUCAGCCAAGCUCGUCAUGCCUGUUCGCUUCUAUGAGUAAAAUGAGUCUUGACGCUGUUUUGUCGUCUGAAAUUGUGUUUAGAAAUUUUUUUAAGGACUUAAUCAAUUCAAUACCAUCCAAGUUUGUUUCUUAACGUUUUUGCAAAGGUAUACAUUUACACUGAUUUCACCAAAACGUGCCAAUUUAUGAAUCGAAAAAUCCGUUAAAAUUAACACAAACGAAAAGUAAAUAUGUGUGAAAAAUGCCAGAAAGAAGAAUCCCGGGGAUCUUUUUGAACGAAUUUCAUCCUGAAAAUCACCUCCAGAAACAUCAUUUCAGACAACAAUUGGCUGUCAAUACGCCAUUGAUUAAAAAACAUCGAAUAUUAUUGAUAAAAAUGCGGACCUAACCUGUGCAGAGCCUAAUUUCGUACGUGCCGAUUUGUUAUGCUUACAAAUCGAAAUAAUAGCUACACGAAUACUGUUGUUAUUAUUAUUCUUACUAUCGUAGAUGUAAAAUGAUUAAAUAAGAUGAUAAAUUGACAUGAAACGCUGAAGAAGCAAAAACACAACUAAAUUGUUGAGAUAAUUGGUAAAAUCUGAGUGUAUACGUGGUAUGUUUAGUCGUGGGGGUGCAAUUCAGCAGAGAGUGACGCAGGCAGCGACACAGGCCGCCGUAAAUGCCGCCACGCACGAGCUCAUGGAUGUAUUCAGGAUGAAGCGCCCCGUACCCAAUGUUCCUCCCCGAAUUCCCGACAGACCGUAUUCCGGCCGACUAAACUGAGCUAGCACACACCGCACCUAGCUUGCCUGCCUGAAAAAAAAAACGAAUCAAAAAAACAAAC